rnacentral:rRNA from 1 species
GACGAACGCUGGCGGCGUGCUUAACACAUGCUAGUCGAACGGAAAGGCCCUGCUUUUGUGGGGUGCUCGAGUGGCGAACGGGUGAGUAACACGUGAGUAACCUGCCCUUGACUUUGGGAUAACUUCAGGAAACUGGGGCUAAUACCGGAUAGGAGCUCCUGCUGCAUGGUGGGGGUUGGAAAGUUUCGGCGGUUGGGGAUGGACUCGCGGCUUAUCAGCUUGUUGGUGGGGUAGUGGCUUAUCAAGGCUUUGACGGGUAGCCGGCCUGAGAGGGUGACCGGCCACAUUGGGACUGAGAUACGGCCCAGACUCCUACGGGGGGCAGCAGUGGGGAAUAUUGCACAAUGGGCGGAAGCCUGAUGCAGCAACGCCGCGUGCGGGAUGACGGCCUUCGGGUUGUAAACCGCUUUCGCCUGUGACGUAGCGUGAGUGACGGUAAUGGGUAAAGAAGCACCGGCUAACUACGUGCCAGCAGCCGCGGUGAUACGUAGGGUGCGAGCGUUGUCCGGAUUUAUUGGGCGUAAAGGGCUCGUAGGUGGUUGAUCGCGUCGGAAGUGUAAUCUUGGGGCUUAACCCUGAGCGUGCUUUCGAUACGGGUUGACUUGAGGAAGGUAGGGGAGAAUGGAAUUCCUGGUGGAGCGGUGGAAUGCGCAGAUAUCAGGAGGAACACCAGUGGCGAAGGCGGUUCUCUGGGCCUUUCCUGACGCUGAGGAGCGAAAGCGUGGGGAGCGAACAGGCUUAGAUACCCUGGUAGUCCACGCUGUAAACGGUGGGUACUAGGUGUGGGGUCCAUUCCACGGGUUCCGUGCCGUAGCUAACGCUUUAAGUACCCCGCCUGGGGAGUACGGCCGCAAGGCUAAAACUCAAAGGAAUUGACGGGGCCCCGCACAAGCGGCGGAGCAUGCGGAUUAAUUCGAUGCAACGCGUAGAACCUUACCUGGGUUUGACAUGGAUCGGGAGUGCUCAGAGAUGGGUGUGCCUCUUUUGGGGUCGGUUCACAGGUGGUGCAUGGCUGUCGUCAGCUCGUGUCGCGAGAUGUUGGGUUAAGUCCCGCAACGAGCGCAACCCUUGUUCACUGUUGCCAGCACGUUAUGGUGGGGACUCAGUGGAGACCGCCGGGGUCAACUCGGAGGAAGGUGGGGAUGACGUCAAGUCAUCAUGCCCCUUAUGUCCAGGGCUUCACGCAUGCUACAAUGGCUGGUACAGAGAGUGGCGAGCCUGUGAGGGUGAGCGAAUCUCGGAAAGCCGGUCUCAGUUCGGAUUGGGGUCUGCAACUCGGCCUCAUGAAGUCGGAGUCGCUAGUAAUCGCAGAUCAGCAACGCUGCGGUGAAUACGUUCCCGGGGCU